rnacentral:rRNA from 1 species
GACGAACGCUGGCGGCGUGCUUAACACAUGCAAGUCGAACGGAAAGGCGCUGCUCUUGCGGGGUGCUCGUUAGGCGAACGGGUGAGAAACACGCGAGUAAACUGUCCCUGUCUUUGGGAUAACACUUCGAAACUCGGGCUCUUAUCGGAUAGGAUCUCCUGCUGCACGGUGGGGGUUGGAGAGAUUCGGUCGUGGGGGAUGGUCUCGCGGCUUAUCAGCUUGUUUGGGUGGUAGUGGCUUACCAAGCCUUCGACGGGUAGCCGGCCUGAGAGGGUGACCGGCCACAUUGGGACUGAGAUACGGCCCAGACUCCUACGGGAGGCAGCAGUGGGGAAUAUUGCACAAUGGGCGGAAGCCUGAUGCAGCAACGCCGCGUGCGGGAUGACGGCCUUCGGGUUGUAAACCGCUUUCGCCUGUGACGAAGCGUGAGUGACGGUAAUGGGUAAAGAAGCACCGGCUAACUACGUG